UUUCGCAUAAUUUUACAACUUAUCCCCGGUGCCAAAGAUCUGAACUACCCUGUGGCCUACGUAAAAUAUAUGAAUAAUAAUAAUAGUAAAACAUCUCGAUCAAUUCAAUGAAAAGUACGUAUACGUUACGAAUGAGAGAGGAAAAGUCAACGUUCUUCUAGUACGUUAGCCGACGCCCUCAGAGAAAUACCGUAGGAUAUGGAAAUUAGGACUGAUGGUUAUACUACUUACUUGUGUUACACUUACAGUUGUAAUUUUGAUGUUUUCCUUACUUAGCUGUUAAAUUAUAGAGUCUGUUCACGUUUUGUAAAAUUCUGUAUUCAUAUUAUUAUUACUAGUUAUUGAUAUACUUGACUUCAGACUGUUCAAAUUCAAUUUCAUUUGCAGUCUUAUCCUUAGGGCUAACCUUGAUCAAGACUUAGAGAAAAAAAAGUUCAAGACUCAGAUGUGUGAAACCACUUCUUCGUAUUUAACAAGUUUGUGGAGGACGUGGUGUUUGAGAGUCAGCAUGAAGCAGUGACAGAAUCAGCAAUAAUGUAAUCAAGAAAGAGAGUAAGAUGGAAAGGGGUAUUUUAUGGGUUGAGUUGGAUGCAUAAAGCUUGCUCAAGAAUCAGGAUAAACAACUGGAGUAAAAAACAAACAAACAAAUGUCAAAUACCUGGGGUAUUAGUGCAGAGAAGGACAAAGGUGGAUAUUACCUGAUCAUAGUUAAGGACAGAAGAACCAGAACCAAUGACAGGCUGUGAGACAAGCUGGUCAUAGACAUCCAAAGAUAAGGCAGCUUGAGCAGAAAUUACAGAAACAAGAGGCCCUGAGCUCUGGAUUUGUGAUGCAGAAUAGAACUAAUUGUCAUGUACAAUGUUGGUAAUUCCAGUCACCAUUUAAAGAAAAUAACUCCUGUGAGGGAGAGUCAGGACCUUGGGAGGAUUCAGAAACAUGGAUAUGAUAUAUAAAAUAAGAUCCAUGAAACUGGAUUCAUGGAAAGUAUUAAUAUUAUUAUUUUAUUUUAAUACAUCUGGUAUGUCCAGGGUAGUUAGGUCUUAAUCAUUUUUGUAUUGAUGAGGUGAGUAUUUAUUUGAAAUGCGUUUUCAUUUGUAGAGUUGAAAUGUUGAUUGUAAUGAAACAUGUAAGAAAAAAAAAACACUGAGCAGAUUUCUAGUCUUUUUAUUGUAGAACCAAUAUAAGUGUCCUGAAAUUUUGGGCAACAGAAUUCCCAAGAGUGUGUAAUUACAAUUGCUGAUUUCUGGGCCAACAGAAUCUGUCUAAAGGAUAAAUAACAAGUUGUAUUUAUCAUACUUUUUCUACUGGGCAAGUAACUGUUUCUUCUCUUAUAGUUUGUUCUGUUGCUAGAAAAACACUUGAGGUAGAAUUCUAGGGUAUCACACAAAUUCCCAAAAAUUGUGCACUGCAGAAGUCUAGCAUAUACACACAAACUUUAAAAAUGCAUACCUUUGAACCUCAAACUAAUUCAUAAACCCUGAGUCACACACAUAGUAAGAAACUAUUGAAUUAAUGUGUAUAUAUAAAACAAUGUUCAUUCAUGGCAGCAUUAAAUGUAAACCAUAAUUUAAUUAUCACUUUAUGCACAUAGUAUUCUACAUGCUAUGCUGUGAAAACAUAAUGAUUAAAUGUUUAAAAUUAUAGAAUACUUGAAUAUAUAUGAAGAUGGAGAACAUGAUGCAAUUCAGUCAUGACCUGCCAUUUGUAUUGAUUUUGAACAUUGUUAAAUAAGAUUUAAAUCCUGAAAGUUAUAUUCUACUUUUUGGGGGAUGGGGAGGAGAAGGCAAUUUCAUUUUCCUAGCAUUCUGUUCCUUGGAUAGAAGGUUUUCAAAAAUAUAACACACUGCAUUUCAAUUGACUUUCUUUUUAUGAAAUGUACAUUAUUAAAGUUUUGUUCACAAAAUUUUUAUUAUU